UACGUAGGGUGCAAGCAUUAUCCGGAGUGACUGGGCGUAAAGAGUUGCUUAGGUGUUUUAAUAAGUGGAUAGUGAAACCUGGUGGCUCAACCAUACAGACUAUUAUUCAAACUGUUAAACUCGAGAGUAGCAGAGGUAACUGGAAUUUCUUGUGUAGGAGUGAAAUCCGUAGAUAUAAGAAGGAACACCAAUGGCGUAGGCAGGUUACUGGGCUAUUUCUGACACUAAGGCACGAAGGCGUGGGGAGCGAACCGG
rnacentral:rRNA from 1 species